rnacentral:rRNA from 1 species
AGUGAACGCUGGCGGCAGGCCUAACACAUGCAAGUCGAGCGGAUGAAUGGAGCUUGCUCCUGGAUUCAGCGGCGGACGGGUGAGUAAUGCCUAUGAAUCUGCCUUGUCGUGGGGGAUAACGUCCUGAAACGGGCGCUAAUACCGCAUACGUCCUGAGGGAGAAAGUGGGGGAUCUUCGGACCUCACGCUAUCAUAUGAGCCUAGGUCGGAUUAGAUAGUUGGUGGGGUAAAGGCCUACCAAGGCGACGAUCCGUACCUGGUCUGAGAGGAUGAUCAGUCACACUGGAACUGAGACACGGUCCAGACUCCUACGGGAGGAAGCAGUGGGGAAUAUUAGACAAUGGGCGAAAGCCUGAUCCAGCCAUGCCGCGUGUGUGAAGAAGGUCUUCGGAUUGUAAAGCACUUUAAGUUGGGAGGAAGGGCAGUAAGUUAAUACCUUGCUGUUUUGACGUUACCAACAGAAUAAGCACCGGCUAACUUCGUG